UACGAAGGGGGCUAGCGUUGCUCGGAAUUACUGGGCGUAAAGCGCACGUAGGCGGCUUGUUAAGUCAGGGGUGAAAUCCUGGAGCUCAACUCCAGAACUGCCUUUGAUACUGGCGAGCUUGAGUUCGGGAGAGGUGAGUGGAACUGCGAGUGUAGAGGUGAAAUUCGUAGAUAUUCGCAAGGACACCAGUGGCGAAGGCGGCUCACUGGCCCGAUACUGACGCUGAGGUGCGAAAGCGUGGGGAGCAAACAGG
rnacentral:rRNA from 1 species